GAUGAGCGCUGGCGGCGUGCCUAAUACAUGCAAGUCGAGCGAACGGACGAGAAGCUUGCUUCUCUGAUGUUAGCGGCGGACGGGUGAGUAACACGUGGAUAACCUACCUAUAAGACUGGGAUAACUUCGGGAAACCGGAGCUAAUACCGGAUAAUAUUUUGAACCGCAUGGUUCAAAAGUGAAAGACGGCCUUGCUGUCACUUAUAGAUGGAUCCGCGCUGCAUUAGCUAGUUGGUAAGGUAACGGCUUACCAAGGCAACGAUGCAUAGCCGACCUGAGAGGGUGAUCGGCCACACUGGAACUGAGACACGGUCCAGACUCCUACGGGAGGCAGCAGUAGGGAAUCUUCCGCAAUGGGCGAAAGCCUGACGGAGCAACGCCGCGUGAGUGAUGAAGGUCUUCGGAUCGUAAAACUCUGUUAUUAGGGAAGAACAUAUGUGUAAGUAACUGUGCACAUCUUGACGGUACCUAAUCAGAAAGCCACGGCUAACUACGUG
rnacentral:rRNA from 1 species